rnacentral:lncRNA from 1 species
AAGAACUCUUCUGGAGGGAGAAGAGAGAGAUGAAAUCAAGAAUAUAUAUUCAAGAAUUGGGCAUAAUUGCGGUCGAUGUCGGCAUGAUUUCAAGUGGCAAAAAACCAACCACAAGAAUGGCUUCAAGAAAAAGAAAUUCGAUGGGCAUAAAUGUGGUUCAGUGACCCCCCAGAAAACCGAAAGAAAGAGCUCAAGAGUUGAAUAGCAAAUAAGCAAAAGUUGAGUUCCAAAAGAAAUGACCAGAGGGAGGGACCAAACACACACGCAAAAAUGAACCCACAGGGCAACGGACAACGGACAACGGACAGCGGACAACGCGGCACAACUUCAGCGUCAUGCUAAUGACAAAACAAUCAGCAGAGACACGCAACGUUGGAGAUCAGCAAUAGAUCCACCAUCCAGCAUCCAGCAUCCAGCAACAUCCAUGGGACAUGAAUAGAAGUGGAGAAGUCAUGGACCUGCUGCCCAAGUCAGCGACGCAUGUGAAACUGUUGGGCCCACAGACCAUUCCAGCGAUCAUAUACUGCUUCAAGAGUGAGACUCGGCUGCCCCUUACACCACUCACACCAGUCCCUCCCCAGUCACACUCAGAAGAGUUGGCCAAAAGAGUGUUUUGUGGCCAAGUGUUCGCACGCUGCUCGCGGCUCGUGUGGCUGGCUUCCGUGACCCCCUUCCGACUGGCCACGCACAACUCUCUCGGCCACUGAUUGAUGGCACAAAGUGUGGGGAUGGGCUCAGCUAUUGCUUUAGCUACAAAGCCCUUCUCAUUGUAUUUGUUUCAGGAGGCAGACACCUCCAAUCAUGGCUCAUGGUAAAAGAGAAAAUGAUGUGCCAAAUGUCUUGCUUUAAUUAUUGUUUCAGAUGAACAACGAGCCACAACUGGCAGCCGUUGCGGACAGAUGAAAAUAAGUUUUCGACAAGCAGAAGGCAGCCUCUAGGCAGCACUCUGAUAAAGGGAAAUAGUGUAAAGAUGGCAGGUUAUUCCUCUGCCAUGAGUCCUUCAACCCAACGACGGUUUUCACACAGCAAAAAUGCAAAAGAAUUUCCAUCAGAAUUAACUCACAUCCGAAAUAUUUUCUUUUAUUUUCUUCUCUUCAAAUGUCUCAAUUUGCUUGCUUCUCUUUCUAUUUUUUCU